ACACUUUAAUCGUGCCUUUUUUUGUACUGUCAAACCGUAAAGUGUUCAUAACCUAAGAAAUAACAUAAUAAAUAUAAUAUAUAAUAAUAAUACUAUAAUAAACAGUAAAAAAUGCGAGAUAAUCCGUAAAAGUAGUUUGAAUUGCGAGAUUUGUUUGUCACAUGAUCACUCAAGCUGGUGUAAGCCAUAAGGAUGUUUACAUGAACAUCCACUACUUAAGUCUUCAUUUUCCUUAUUCCUUCCUCAAUCCUCUAUCCACGUCAUCUGUUGACGCUCCAAGAGAACAACAAAAAGACAAACAAAAACAUUUAAAUUUAAUAAACAAAACAACGCUGCCAAAAAAGGAAAAUUUGUGAAUUGUGUCAGUCAUCAAUCUGCAUAGAAAACUGUGAAUAAUCACGUGAAAAUUUGCAUCGGGAGCUUUGGAAAGAAAAAUGAAUGGUAUUAUUCUACUUGAACAUUACCACACGUCUGCUGGCAACACACCCGAACAACGGCGUGAACAUACAAAUAAAAGAAAACUCGUAUUUAAUUCUAUUAUUUGAGAUAUAACAAACACGGACAGAACACAAUGGGACCAUUAACUACCUGAUAAUAACGUGCACUUGUGUCACUAAAAGCGUUUUGGUACUGUCGUUGACAAUGUCCGUUAUAAAGCAUAUUAAUUAUAUUAAUUUAAUCAA